GACGAACGCUGGCGGCGUGCUUAACACAUGCAAGUCGAACGGAAAGGCCCUGCUUUUGUGGGGUGCUCGAGUGGCGAACGGGUGAGUAACACGUGAGUAACCUGCCCUUGACUUUGGGAUAGCUUCAGGAAACUGGGGCUAAUACCGGAUAGGAGCUCCUGCUGCAUGGUGGGGGUUGGAAAGUUUCGGCGGUUGGGGAUGGACUCGCGGCUUAUCAGCUUGUUGGUGGGGUAGUGGCUUACCAAGGCUUUGACGGGUAGCCGGCCUGAGAGGGUGACCGGCCACAUUGGGACUGAGAUACGGCCCAAACUCCUACGGGAGGCAGCAGUGGGGAAUAUUGCACAAUGGGCGGAAGCCUGAUGCAGCAACGCCGCGUGCGGGAUGACGGCCUUCGGGUUGUAAACCGCUUUCGCCUGUGACGAAGCGUGAGUGACGGUAAUGGGUAAAGAAGCACCGGCUAACUACGUG
rnacentral:rRNA from 1 species